UUAAGCUUCAAAACAAGAUUUUGGCGCAAACUGAGUCUCCAUGAAUCUCAAAGAAGCCAGGGAAAUCGGAAGGCUGAUGAGAAGAAGCACGUUGUAAUAGCGUUGCCGCCAAUAAUCGGAAAAGUAAAAGAAACAUGGUGGAAAUACCAAACAUUCAGGAUGUUCAAGAUUUCUUCCAGUCUCUUUGGCCGGAGGAAGGGAUUAAGGGACUAAAGAAAUUAAGAAUCCCAUCAGAUUGUGGCACAACCAACUGGCAUGAAACAGCAGUCCACGGUGCAUGUAUAGCCAGAAAUGAAGGAUUGAUUACUGGUGUAUUGAGUGGGCUGGUGUAAACAUCUAACAAUCUGGUAAAAAAAGUGUGGUAAAGACAAUGUUGUAUGAGUAAUUUAAUAUUGUUGUUAAAGUCUUCAAAAAUAUUUGCCAAUGCUUCCCCAUUGUCCCCAGAAACAACUAGCGGUGUAAAACUAAGGUUCUUCAAAUGGUUGUUGUAGUGUAUUUAAUCUGGAAAUGCUCCAACCUACAACUGCUCAAGGUAUUCUUUUUUAUAUUUGUUUUAUUCUCAAACAACGCUUUAAUGGUAAUGUGGAUAAGGAAUAAUACCUCCACUCAUUUAAUAGGUUUU